CACAGCCUACUGCUCCCCUCCUCACAUCCAGGGGGAUGCCCGCUGCGCACCCAGGGGUGCACUCCAGGGCUCGGGAGACUGAGGCAGGAGGAUCCCACCCCAGCCUGGGUUACCUAUUGAGACCCCAUCACCAAACCAAGCCACCCCACCCAGGAAUGAGUAUUUCCACGCAGCUCACAGUGCCUGCGGCUCCCAGGCGCCUCGGGGGCUCCACCUCCCAUUGGUCACUGAGUUCCGUGUCACUUGCAGGGGGGUCUUGGAAGCCACCCCUCCUGUGUGCCGAACAGCAGUGCCAACUUCCUCUUCCGAUGCAGGCUGAGGCUAGAACCCAGGGCCUUCGCACUGAGCUCCACCCCCGGCCCUUCUGAUAUUUUAUCUCCAGACUGGAUCUCAAUUGCCCAGCCCCCAGAACGCUGGAAUUACAGGCGUGUGCUACUGUGCCUGGCCUCAAAGGUGUUUCACUGGGCAAAGCCUCGAGGAGAGGCAGGUUCAAGGUGGGACAAAACUACAGUCAACUGGUAAGGUUACCAGUGUCGUCGCUCAGCUUGUGCAAGUGUGAGCAGACAGCCUGCCUCCCCGGACAGCAACC
rnacentral:lncRNA from 1 species